rnacentral:rRNA from 2 species
AUUGCCCCAGUAACGGCGAGUGAAGCGGCAAGAGCUCAAAUUUGAAAUCUGGCCCCUCCGGGGUCCGAGUUGUAAUUUGCAGAGGAUGCUUCGGGUGCGGCCCCUGUCUAAGUGCCCUGGAACGGGCCGUCAGAGAGGGUGAGAAUCCCGUCUUGGGCAGGGUGCCCGUGCCCGUGUGAAGCUCCUUCGACGAGUCGAGUUGUUUGGGAAUGCAGCUCUAAAUGGGUGGUAAAUUUCAUCUAAAGCUAAAUACCGGCCGGAGACCGAUAGCGCACAAGUAGAGUGAUCGAAAGAUGAAAAGCACUUUGAAAAGAGAGUUAAACAGCACGUGAAAUUGUUGAAAGGGAAGCGCUUGCGACCAGACUCGGCCCCGGGGUUCAGCCAGCACUCGUGCUGGUGUACUUCCCCGGGGGCGGGCCAGCGUCGGUUUGGGCGGCCGGUCAAAGGCCCCAGGAAUGUGUCGCCCUCCGGGGCGUCUUAUAGCCUGGGGUGCAAUGCGGCCAGCCCGGACCGAGGAACGCGCUUCGGCACGGACGCUGGCG